rnacentral:rRNA from 1 species
GACGAACGCUGGCGGCGUGCUUAACACAUGCAAGUCGAACGGAAAGGCCCCUUUGGGGGUACUCGAGUGGCGAACGGGUGAGUAACACGUGAGUAACCUGCCCUUGACUUCGGGAUAACUUCAGGAAACUGGGGCUAAUACCGGAUAGCAAUCCUUGCUGCAUGGUGGGGGUUGGAAAGCUUCGGCGGUUUUGGAUGGACUCGCGGCUUAUCAGCUUGUUGGUGGGGUAGUGGCUUACCAAGGCUUUGACGGGUAGCCGGCCUGAGAGGGCGACCGGCCACAUUGGGACUGAGAUACGGCCCAGACUCCUACGGGAGGCAGCAGUGGGGAAUAUUGCACAAUGGGCGGAAGCCUGAUGCAGCAACGCCGCGUGCGGGAUGACGGCCUUCGGGUUGUAAACCGCUUUCAGCAGGGGCGAAGCUUUUGUGACGGUACCUGCAGAAGAAGCACCGGCUAACUACGUG